AGUAGAACGCUGAAGAGAGGAGCUUGCUCUUCUUGGAUGAGUUGCGAACGGGUGAGUAACGCGUAGGUAACCUGCCUGGUAGCGGGGGAUAACUAUUGGAAACGAUAGCUAAUACCGCAUGACAUUGAUUAUCGCAUGAUAAUUGAUUGAAAGAUGCAAUUGCAUCACUACCAGAUGGACCUGCGUUGUAUUAGCUAGUUGGUGAGGUAACGGCUCACCAAGGCGACGAUACAUAGCCGACCUGAGAGGGUGAUCGGCCACACUGGGACUGAGACACGGCCCAGACUCCUACGGGAGGCAGCAGUAGGGAAUCUUCGGCAAUGGGGGGAACCCUGACCGAGCAACGCCGCGUGAGUGAAGAAGGUUUUCGGAUCGUAAAGCUCUGUUGUAAGAGAAGAACGGGUGUGAGAGUGGAAAGUUCACACUGUGACGGUAUCUUACCAGAAAGGGACGGCUAACUACGUGCCAGCAGCCGCGGUAAUACGUAGGUCCCGAGCGUUGUCCGGAUUUAUUGGGCGUAAAGCGAGCGCAGGCGGUUAGAUAAGUCUGAAGUUAAAGGCUGUGGCUUAACCAUAGUAUGCUUUGGAAACUGUUUAACUUGAGUGCAGAAGGGGAGAGUGGAAUUCCAUGUGUAGCGGUGAAAUGCGUAGAUAUAUGGAGGAACACCGGUGGCGAAAGCGGCUCUCUGGUCUGUAACUGACGCUGAGGCUCGAAAGCGUGGGGAGCAAACAGGAUUAGAUACCCUGGUAGUCCACGCCGUAAACGAUGAGUGCUAGGUGUUAGGCCCUUUCCGGGGCUUAGUGCCGCAGCUAACGCAUUAAGCACUCCGCCUGGGGAGUACGACCGCAAGGUUG
rnacentral:rRNA from 1 species